AUGUUAUUCCAUAACAAGACUAAGGUCCACCCAUCUGAAGAAAACAGGAAAGAUGGCCAGUGGGAGAGACUAAGGGAGGAAGAGAAGAUGGCUAACUAUGGAGUUCCGGAAAGGAAAGUUUCUGGAGAGGAAAGCAAGGGUUCAGAUACCGUGAAACCAAACAGGAAAAAAAAAGUCCCCUCAAUUCUUCCCUUUUCACAAAGAAGAUAGUGCCAGCAGGUAGGUUCCCCAGGGGGAAAGCCUUGCUCAUUCAUCACUUAC
rnacentral:lncRNA from 1 species